rnacentral:rRNA from 1 species
UACGAAGGGUGCAAGCGUUACUCGGAAUUACUGGGCGUAAAGCGUGCGUAGGUGGUUUGUUAAGUCUGAUGUGAAAGCCCUGGGCUCAACCUGGGAACGGCAUUGGAAACUGGCUUACUAGAGUGCGGUAGAGGGGUGUGGAAUUCCCGGUGUAGCAGUGAAAUGCGUAGAUAUCAGGAGGAACACCAGUGGCGAAGGCGGCUUCCUGGACACCAACUGACGCUGAGACGCGAAAGCGUGGGGAGCAAACAGG